rnacentral:rRNA from 1 species
AUUGAACGCUGGCGGCAGGCCUAACACAUGCAAGUCGAGCGGUUGAGAGGAGCUUGCUUCUCGAUUCAGCGGCGGACGGGUGAGUAAUGCCUAGGAAUCUGCCUGGUAGUGGGGGACAACGUUUCGAAAGGAACGCUAAUACCGCAUACGUCCUACGGGAGAAAGCAGGGGACCUUCGGGCCUUGCGCUAUCAGAUGAGCCUAGGUCGGAUUAGCUAGUUGGUGAGGUAAUGGCUCACCAAGGCGACGAUCCGUAACUGGUCUGAGAGGAUGAUCAGUCACACUGGAACUGAGACACGGUCCAGACUCCUACGGGAGGCAGCAGUGGGGAAUAUUGGACAAUGGGCGAAAGCCUGAUCCAGCCAUGCCGCGUGUGUGAAGAAGGUCUUCGGAUUGUAAAGCACUUUAAGUUGGGAGGAAGGGUUGUAGAUUAAUACUCUGCAAUUUUGACGUUACCGACAGAAUAAGCACCGGCUAACUCUGUGCCAGCAGCCGCCGUAAGAC